GCUGCCUAAAAUGCAUCCAAACAUUCAGUAUCUCCUCCCUCUAAAUGCAGACACUGAACUUUCCUCAUAGAGAUUCAUUGAUUCAAUUCAUCUCUAUGAGCAGAUGCUGAUUGGCCAGGGCUGUGUUUGAAUCAUUCUGGCUCUGCCCCUGAUCUGCCUCUUUGACAGUCUCAGCCAAUCCUAUGGGGAAGCAUUGUGAUAGGCUCAGAACAACACUUCUGAUGAUGUCAGCAGACAGAUUACUAUUCUG
rnacentral:lncRNA from 1 species